UACGUAGGGUGCAAGCGUUGUCCGGAAUUAUUGGGCGUAAAGAGCUCGUAGGCGGUUUGUCGCGUCUGCUGUGAGAACCCGAGGCUCAACCUCGGGCCUGCAGUGGGUACGGGCAGACUAGAGUGCGGUAGGGGAGAUUGGAAUUCCUGGUGUAGCGGUGGAAUGCGCAGAUAUCAGGAGGAACACCAAUGGCGAAGGCAGAUCUCUGGGCCGUAACUGACGCUGAGGAGCGAAAGCAUGGGGAGCGAACAGG
rnacentral:rRNA from 1 species